rnacentral:tmRNA from 1 species
GGGGCUGCAUUGAUUCGACAGAGUAAGGGUUUUAUUAGAAUGCAAGUAGUAGGCGUACUUAAAACGCAAAAAACAAAUAGUCGGAAACGAUUACAAUUUUGCACCAGCUUUUGCCUAAUAUAGGUUAACUGGUCUUCCAUAAUAUCUUUUGUUCUCGAGAUAUUAAAUGGGAGUUAUAAAGAGAACUAUAUUAUAAGUUUGCUUAUGGCUUGUAACGAAUGAAAAAUAAGCUUUGAAUAAUAAGAGAAGUUGGCAAUCUACAUUAUUAUUCGAGAAUAAAAACCAACUAAACUUGUAGAUAUUCUAAGGGAACAUACCCUGGACAGGAGUUCGUUACUCCUCAGCUCCACCA